rnacentral:tRNA from 3 species
GGGGCUAUGGCGCAGCUGGUAGCGCAUCUGCUUUGCAAGCAGAGGGUCGUCGGUUCGAGUCCGACUAGCUCCA